UUAUUGCUCAACGCUUCUCCUACCUCCUGCUUUCGUCUUUCCUUUCACCAUUUUACACUAAUUGGUUCUGUAUGUAUUUCCUUCUUAUGGGGCCUGAAGAUCUUUUGCUGUUUCGGCUUGCGAACGUGAGGAUUGCUCAUCAAUCGGGAUCCCUGAGGUCGAAAACGAAAGAGGGUAUCGCUCCAACCUUCGCAUUUCAUCGUCUUUUCUUGUGAAUGUUCAGCAGGGGCUCGUGACUCUGGUCAUUUUUGAGGAGGUUGGCAGGGACUGUUUUGCCCAUGUGUGCUAUUUGGUCGAAAUCUUGAAAAUUUGAGGGAAGUCAUUCCGUGGACUAGGCCUUGUAUUUGUCAUGCCAUAUUUGUUGAGGGCGGCACAGCACGUUCAACAGCAACUGCAAUACUCCAUCACCGUGGCAUUGAUCCCUCAACGUCGUUCCUGAUCGGUGCAGGAUUGCUGCUCACUUGGUGGGUGUGUGGCAUCUACAGGGGCCUAUUUCAGCAAAAAUUGCGUAGGAAAUAUCAUUUAAGGGGGCCUUUUGUUCUUAAAAGGGCAUUAAUUUUGGUGGAGUUUUUUUGUGCAAACGUCAAGAUUCUUUUGGACAGCAUUAUGAAGGAUGGCAAUGAUAUAGCUACCAAAGAAUGAUCUGGUUCAGUUCCACAAUUCACAGGCAUACAAGAUCUCAGGUAUCAAACUCAGGUCGGUGGAUGCCGAGUUAGGCAUCGUCAACUGCAUCGUGGACUGGGUUUGCCACAAGUUUCUGACCAAGGACGGGGUGCUGGAAGUGUUGGACAAGGACACGGGUCAACUGCAGCUAUGUCCACGAGGAGAUGAUGCUGCCUGCUGGUCUUCAUGGUGGCGCUGCUGUGCACAACCCGAUGCCCGGCCGUCCGGUCAUCCAUACGUGAUGUCGUCUCCAUGCUGCAAGAAGCAUAGCCAAAGAGAAAGGUGGUAAGUGCUUAUGUUCACGACAUCGACAACCAUGGUGUAAGUAAAAGUUAGCGUUCAUGUACUAUAUUGAAAUUGAAUUGAACUGGAUUCUUUGAUCGGCCGGUGUUUCUCUUGCCUUUUUUUUUUAUUAUCUAUAUA